rnacentral:rRNA from 1 species
GAUGAACGCUGGCGGCGUGCCUAAUACAUGCAAGUCGAGCGAACGGACGAGAAGCUUGCUUCUCUGAUGUUAGCGGCGGACGGGUGAGUAACACGUGGAUAACCUACCUAUAAGACUGGGAUAACUUCGGAAAACCGGAGCUAAUACCGCAUAAGCCCACGGAACCGCAUGGUUCAGAGGGAAAAGGAGCAAUUCGCUCUGGGAUGGACUCGCGUCCGAUUAGCUGGAUGGUGAGGUAACGGCCCACCAUGGCGACGAUCGGUAGCCGGACUGAGAGGUUGAUCGGCCACAUUGGGACUGAGACACGGCCCAG